AACUGCAACCCCCAGUUUUGCCACUAGGUGGAAGUGCACUGAAAUACUACCGCUGGCGGCCAUCUUGCUAAGCUGCACAGACUGAGACCACAAGAGGUUCUGUGAAUAUUUGAACUGCAUUGGAACUGGAAGAAAAUUUUGAAAAAGUACAUGUUAUCCCGACUGGUUUUUUUAGAGGGUCUGGCUCCUGGUUCUCCCUGAUUCCUGGUCCUAUUCGUGGUUCUACCUGCGCUGGAUUUCUCUUCGUUCACCCUGGUGCCUGGUUCCCUGGUCCACCUCCUCGCCUAACAGCGCUGCAACGAUUGUACUGACACUGAGUAUUAAAGGGG